AUGAAAUAUUAUAGCUAAAGACGGGUAUGAAAGGCAGUGCAAAGCAAGGCAAGGGAAGGACACAAAUGGCAAGGAAAAGCAAGCUCUGGUAGGAAUUCAAGGCAAGGCAAUAGAGUGGUAGGCAAGAUAAGGCCCAGAAGCUGUAGGCAAGGCAGGGUAGAGGAAGGCAAGGCAAGUCAAUUGCAGGGCAGUAAAGUGAUUUGCGGAAACAAACUCCACAACUUUUGUGAAAGUUGUAAAGCUGGUAUGUUUAUUACAGCGCUGGAUGCAUGUGGGAAUUGUUCUCUUAAAAUGACAUGCAUACUUUUGGAAACUCCAGACCUCUUUUUAUCCCCCUCUCAAAUACAUAUGCAUGCAAUUUUACAAUAGGUUUAUACAUAUUUAUUUUACUGAUUUUGCGUGUGACAUUUGCUGUUAAUUCUUUUUUAUCAGAGAGAAUUCCUGGGUCAGACAAUUUUCUUUUAUAAUCUUUCAUAACAAUCUUUUUGUUUGUUCCCCUUAUCUUUCUUGUCUUUGACCUGCAGCAAUUUCUCUGUGCAUAGGCUUUUUACGAGGACAGGCAGACUAAACAGCUAUAUUUUUAAGCUACAUACCUAAUUUAAAAAUGUACAUUUCACUUAAAUCAAAAUGGAUUUUUACUCUGGAAAAUUUCUAUUCUGUCUCAUUUUUCUUCCUUUCAUAAAAAUAAGUAAAUUUUUUUACUUAAUGCAAAUUCUUAUGAUAAUAAGUGUCUCUUAAUGCUUUACCAUGUAUGUUUGAUAAGGAGGUUAACACAGCUACUCGCUGUAGUAUUCUCCAAUUCUAAAUUGGCAAUAUAAAGGAUAACUUUAAACUUACUCCAACUACUAUUAAUACAACUAAAAUGGGAUGACAUAACUUAUUAAAGAUUUCAUUUGUAGUUGGUGACUAUCUAAAGAUUACAUCUUACUAGUGAUGAUCUGCAUUUUGUUUUAUUCUUUGCAGAAUUUUGGUUAUUUCUUUUGUAUCAUGUUGGACAGUAAUUAGGGUUUUUUCUUUGCUUUCUUGGAUUUCUUUGAAGAUUUCUAGUAGGUCUUGGUGUUUAAUUAAUUGUUUUACUAAUGUAAGGUCCAUUCUAAUAGGAGUUGGUGAUAGUCUGUGAUACAUUUUGUAAUUGGUUUUAAUCAACUGGUGGAAUGUUACUGGGGCCAAGUACAAAAAAUCACACUUGAUAAUCUUAACAAAAUUAC